GACAACCAACCUUCAAACAAGAAUCCAUACCCAUUAAGUGAUGCUAAAUCACAGAGUUCAGAUUUUAACGACAAAUACCACCAGUCUAAGCUAAGCAGGGAAAAGUCUUACAAAAUAAAAGGUACAAGUCAAACUUCCUGUUUUGAACAUUUUUGAUCUGAAAUUAGAGGGAAGGAAACUUAAGAAACUUUGUGCCUCAAAAACCACAAUUUCAGCCAGCACUGCAAAUGUUUAUUGCUCCCACCGCAUUCUAUCUUUAAUGAAUGCUCAAAAUUCAGGAAUAUCACACUGAAAUAUCUAAUCCAGAAGUUAUUCCCCCCAUAACUCUUGCAGAAAUAAUUCCACCAGUUGCCUACUGGCUCUUCUGCUGUGAAGUUUAUCUAAAUCCUGAAAGUCAUCCCAAUAAGAGAGCAACUGAGGAAUGAGUGAAAAGGGCAUUUAGUUGUCCUUAAGCACUUUCACUAGAUGUUUUCUCAGAGAAAUUUGGCCAAAUGCAGAGGAUCACGGCCUUUGAGCAAGUUGUAGUUUAAAAAAUAGCCAAAAACCCAAACCCUAGUGUAAGUAUCUGACAUAUUUAUUUCUAAGAAAGAUAUAUGUAUUUUAAUAUCCUUUCUGUUUCUGAGAAUACAGUAUAUAAAUACUGGAGUGUGGCACCCCCAGUGUAUUUGACACCCCAGCUCUAUUUCCUGACAUGCAUUAAAAAAUCCCAAAGAUUCCAAAUGUACAACUACACCUUACCCUGCUCCUCCUGCACACCACAUAACUCGCAGUAAGGUAACAGAGUUUUGCAACUAUUACUAGAAAUUACAGACAAAAUAGGUGAGACACUUCCCAUUUUUACAACCCUGGGUGCUGCCAACACGCUUGAAUGACUCUUUCUGUUCGCUUUUUGCAGAUCUUUACGAGGCAGGGCCCUGCAAACCACCUCCUUCCCAGACAGCAGCUACGUGUGUGCUGUCUUCACAGGUUCCUCGUGGGACAGGAGCUGGUGACCGUCUCCAGCUGGGUGACUUUUGAGAUGGAAUUAUGUCUUUACGUGAGGUGGAAUCAUGGCUUUAUGCAAGAGCAGCUCAGAGUGACAGACACGAAUGGAGGGAAGGGGUUCACGCUCUGCGAGUACCCCUGGAUAUGGGGUCACAACCUCGGAGGUGAACAGCAAAAUCCAGUCGUACCUCUCAGGAAACACAGGUGGCCUCAUGAAUCCGUUUUCCUGCUGCUGUGGGAGCUCUUGGAGAGGAUUUCACUUGAGGAAAGGAGCUGUGGAACAAAAGGCUCAAAGAGGGACCCUGAAAGCUCAUUCUCAUCUCCUCCACCAGCAGAACAAAGCUAAACAACCCCAGCACCCUCAGCCAUUCAUCACAGGGCUUGUGUCCCAAGCCCUUCACCAGCCUUGUUUCUCUCUUCUGGACGUGUUCAAGCAAGUUCAAGUUACUCACAGAAAAUCUCAGGAGCUGGUUAAUAAUAAAAUCCCAGAAUGGUUA